rnacentral:lncRNA from 1 species
UAAAAAUUGAAUUGAUUGAAUCAAAUUAAAUUGAAACUCAUUUCAGAGUUUUUUUUAAAAUUUGGAACCCCCUGGAAAGAUGAUACCUUAAAUUAUCAUCAGCAACGGCCUUACAUACCAGUGAAGGCAUCAGCAGGCAAGGAGACCAGACUGCUAAAAGUAAGGGACUAUGACAAAAAGAAGGGUGUUGGAAAGUGAAGAAAGUGACUUGGAGCCUAGAGGAAGAUCGAUGCAAAAAUGGCAAUUCAUUAUAUUCAGGAUAUUUUCACCAACCGUUAAUAAGGCAUCCGGACAAUUCCACUCUAAUGGAUGGCCGACUUUCAUCUUGUACAAUCUUUCUUCUGCAUCAUAUCUGUUGGUCAUUGGCUUUGCAUCAUAGGCAAUAGCACUCACCUGGUUUCUAUAUGAAGAGACUGGCCUGUGGAAACCCUGUAGCCCUCGCUACACUCUGAUUCUUCUUGUAUGUCUUUUAUUUUCUCUCAGAAAUUAAUGACUCCAAACAUCACAAACAUUCCUGCUUCCCUGACAAUUCUCCCAACAUCUCUCCUUUAUGAAGCCCCGUGUCUUACUCCUUAUUGCUUUUACAAUGAAAAGAGCAUGAGCUUUAGAUUUCAGACAAAACUAGGUUCAAAUCCCAGCAGGUUCACAAGUUACAUCUAUGACUUCAGACAAAUUACUUGACUCCUCUGAGCCUUUGUGUCCUCACCUGUAAGAUGAAGCGACCAUGAGAUAAAAGAAAUAAGAGAAAUAAAAGAGAGAACAAAACUCUGGGUAACAGGCCUGGCCAACAGAAAACACUUAAUACACCUGAAUUCUCUCAUGUCCUCUGCUGCAGCCCAGAAACUUUCCCUUACUGCUCAAGCCUUAGGGAUCUCGCUCCCUUCUGAACUCCUCUAUCGUACACCAUCGAUCUCCUCGAUUCCAUUCUAAGCACUCUGAGGAAAAAGAAAUAUGUCUCGCAGUUCUUCAGGACUUGAUUUGGUGGCUUACCUGUAGUAAAUGAUCAACAACUGGCUUUUGUUCUUCUUAAUGUACUAAAUGCCAUCACUGGCCCUUCUGUCCACACUGUACAAAAGGCCAUCUCUUUCAUGACAUCUAUUCCCCAGAAGUUCUACGUAAAAGUUGGACCAGUGAGAGUCAUGGCAGGAAACAGAAUUCAACUCACAUAUUAAAAAUGAAGAAUCUUUAGCCAAGGACUGCGUUUCGAGGUGUGGGUAGAGCUAAGAGCACAGCUGUGUGUUGAGGCACCUAGAGACUGGAAGUAGCAGGAGGCCACCCACACCAGAGCUGAGAGGACACAAUGAGCUGUGGUCCUGAAGGUGCACAGCCCCUGCCAAGGACACGGGCCUAAAGCAAAGCAGUGAGGGACCCAGGGGAAUGAAUUCCUUGACUUUCCUCGCCUUCCACACUUUCAUCUCUUGCUGGUAUUUUCUAUCUGCUGAAUCUAGGAAGCUAGGAGCAGAGAAGGCCAAGGGAGGCAGUUUCCUAGCAAUCAGCCUCCCAGGGUACAAAAUGCAGCAAAGAAGGGGAGAGAAUAGAUCUGGAGCAGGGAGGGCAGUGGCAGAUAAAGAGUGAAGACAGGGCCAACUUCAAUUUAUGUGUCUUUAAGAGUCUCAGAAGUUAUUUUGGGCUGCGCGCCAUGGCUCACGCCUGUAAUCCCAACACUUCGGGAGGCCGAGGUGGGUGGAUCACCUGAGGUCAGGGGUUCGAGACCAGCCUGACCAAUAUGGUGAAACCCCAUCUCUACUAAAUACAAAAAAUUGGCUGGACACGGUGACACAUGCCUGUAAUCCCAGCUAUUUGGGAGGCUGAGGCAGGAGAAUUGCUUGAACCUGGAAGGCCAAGGUUACAGUGGGCAGAGAUUGAGCCAUUGCACUUCAGCCUGGGCAACAAGAACAAAACUCCAUCUCAAAAAAAAAAAAAAAGAAAAGAAGAAGUUAUUUUGUCUCAAAAUCACAGAAAAGAAGUAGGAUUUCAAAAAGCUAGGCAGAGCUAACAUCACCAAUAUUGGAGUAGACCAAACUCAUGUGCCUCCUGACAUGCUGAUGAAGGAGGACACAGCAUCACUUUCAUGAUCCUCCUCCCAAAAAUCAUAACCUACGUCUUAUCAGACAAACCCAAACAGAGGAACGUUCUACAAAAUAUUCUUCAAAAUUGUCAAGGUCAUGAGAGAUGAAGUAUGACAGAGGAACUGUCCCAAAUCAAAGGAGAUUAAAGAGACCCAAAAACCAAGUGCAACAGGCUAUCCUCGAUUGGAUCCUGGAUCAGAAAAAAAAAAAAUGUAAUUUUUCUUUUUCUCCAGAGGACAUUAGUCAGAUAAGUGAAAAAUUUGAAUAAGGGCCAGGCACCAUGGCUCACACCUGUAAUCCCAGCACUUUGGGAGGCCAAGGCGGGCAGAUCGCUUGAGUCUAGGAGUUCAAGACCAGCCUGGGCAAUAUGGUGAAACCUCAUCUCUACAAAAAACUAAAAAAAUUAGGCAGGUGUGCCUGUAGUCCCAGCUACUCAGGAGGCUGAGGUAGGAGUAUCACUUGAGCCCAGGAGGGGCUUCAGGCUGGAAUGCAGUGGUGAUCACUGCAGUGAGCUGUGAUCAUCACUGCACUCUAGCCUGGACAAUAGAGCAAGACUCUGUCUCAAAAAUAAAUAAAUAAAUAAAUAAGAGCUAUAGAUUAGAAAAAAGAUAGUUUCAUUGUUAAUUUUCCUGAUUUGAUAAUUGUAUUGGGAUUAUGUAAGCAGAUUCUUUUCUGUUCAAAGGAAAUACACCUGAAAGUAUUUUACGGUAAAGGGACAAAAUAACUUCUCAAAUGGCUAAAAAAAUAAAAAUGUGAGUCUGUGUGUGUGUGUGUGUGUGUGUGUGUGUGGAGAGAGAGAGAAAGAGAGAGAGAGAAAGAAUGAUAAAGCAAGCAAAUAGAAAGAAAUACUAACAAUUUGGUAGGUUUGGAUAAAGGGCACUCCAUUUCUUUUUAUUAUUUUGACUGUUCUGUAAGCAUGAAGUUAUGCUUUAAAAAAGAAAGAGAGAAAGGAGAGGAGUUCACCAAAGGAUGAGGACAAUGCUGAUGGGAACCGCUCAUUUGCAUUGAGAGAAUGGCUAGGUCCCCACGGUUUUACCAGAACCUCAUUAAAUGUAUGCUUCUCAGACUACUCUGGGCACCCGGUGACUUCUCUCAUUACAGAGCUCCUAUAGGGAAUUUUAUUCCUUUCAUUAGGAUUUGUUCUGUUUUUAUUUGUAAUGGUCUGGGCUCAAUGUUUCAACAUUGGAACUGCCUUUAAUUCCUUUUCCCU